UUUUUAAAGAGGAGGAAAUAGCUCUGAGUGGGACAACUGAAUUGUCCAACGUAGGUCACGCUGAGAGGUGACAGCGUGCUGGCAGUCCUCACAGCCCUCGCUCGCUCUCGGCGCCUCCUCUGCCUGGGCUCUCACUUUGGCGGCACUUGAGGAGCCCUUCAGCCCACCCCUGCACUAUGGGAGCCCCUUUCUGGGCUGGCCAAGGCCAGAGCCGGCUCCCUCAGCUUGCGCGAGGGAGAGGCGCGAGCGGGAACCGGGGCUGCGUGCAGCACUUGCGGGCCAGCUGGAGUUCCGGGUGGGCGUGGGCUUGGAGGGCCCCGCACUCGGAGCAGCCGGACGGCCCUGCCGGCCCCGGGCACUGAGGGGCUUAGCACCCGGGCCAGCGGCUGCGGAGGGUGUACUGGGUCCCCCAGCAGUGCUGGCCCACCGGCGCGCUGCGCUUGAUUUCUCGCCGGGCCUUAGCUGCCUUCCCACGGGGCAGGGCUCGAGACCUGCAGCCCGCCAUGCCUGAGCCUCCCACCCCCUCCAUGGGCUCCUGUGCGGCCCAAGCCUCCCCGACGAGCGCUGCCCCCUGCUCCAGUGCCCAGUCCCAUCGACCGCCCAAGGGCUGAGGAGUGCGAGCGCAUGGCGCAGGACUGGCAGGCAGCUCCACCUGCAGCCCUGGUGCGGGAUCCACUGGGUGAAGCCAGCUGGAUUCCUGAGUCUGGUGGGGACGUGGAGAGUCUUUAUGUCUAGCUCAGGGAUUGUAAAUACACCAAUUGGCACUCUGUAUCUAGCUCAAGGUUUGUAAACACACCAAUCAGCACCCUGUGUCUAGCUCAGGGUUUGUGAGUGCACCAAUCCACACUCCCUAUCUAGCUGCUCUGGUGGGGCCUUGGAGAACCUUUAUGUCUAGCUCAGGGAUUGUAAAUACACCAAUCGGCACUCUGUGUCUAGCUCAGGGUUUGUGAAUGCACCAAUCAACACUCUGUAUCUAGCUAUUCUGGUGGGGCCUUGGAGAACCUUUGUGUCCACGCUCUGUAUCUAGCUAAUCUAGCGGGGAGGUGGAGAACCUUUGUGUCUAGCUCAGGGAUUGUAAACGCACCAAUCAGCGCCCUGUCAAAACAGACCACUGGGCUCUACCAAUCAGCAGGAUGUGGGUGGGGCCAGAUAAGAGAAUAAAAGCAGGCUGCGCGAGCCAGCACUGGCAACCAGUUGGGGGUCCACUGCCGCAGUGUGGGAGGUUUGUUCUUUCGCUCUUUGCAAUAAAUCUUGUUACUGCUCACCCUGGGUCCACACUGCUUUUGUGAGUUGUAACACUCACUGGGAAGGUCUGCAGCUUCACUCCUCAAGCCCGGGAGACCGCGAGCCCACCGGGAGAAACGAACAACUCUAGACGCGCCGCCUUAAAAGCGGUAACAUUCACUGCGAAGGUCUGCAGCUUUACUCCUGAGCCAGCGAGACCACGAGCCCACCAGAAGGAAGAAACCCCGAAUACGUCUGAACGUCAGAAGGAACAAACUCCAGAAGCGCCACCUCAAGAGCUGUAACACUCACCGCGAGGGUCCGCGGCUUCAGUCUUGAAGUCAGUGAGACCAAGAACCCACCAAUUCGGGACACAAUACCUAUAAUCCCAGUACUUUAGGAGGCCAGGGCAGGCGGAUCAUCUGAGCUCAGGGGUUGGAGAGGAGCCUGAACAACAUACCGAAACCCCGUCUCUACAAAAAAUACAAAAAUUAACCGGUUGUGGUGGCCGGUGCCGGUAGUUCCAGCUAGUGGGGGACUGCGGAGGUGGGAGCUGAAGCGGGAGGAUCGCUUGAGCCUGGAGGUUGAGGCUGCAGUAAACAGGGAUUGCGUCAGGACACUCCAACCUGGGGAACAGAACGAUGCCCUAAAAGGCUGGCUGAGCUGACUGGAGUCCAAUCUCCUGACUCUCAACCCGCCAGGUUUUCUCCUAACGGACGUCGUAUUUUCACAAGGAUCAAAUGCUGAAGAGAUGAAGUUCCAACGGUGGAGAUUCAAGAGUGGAGAGCAGAAGUGGGGCUGCAGAGCUACCCAGAUCCCAGGAAAAACUACACGUGAGAAAAGGGGACUGACAGCUAUUUAAUAUCUACAAAAUCACUACAUGGUGCUUCCAUCUGUAGUCUUGUUGAACCCCUGUAUUCAUUCUCCUGAUAGGUAUUCCCCCCACUUUGCUCACGGUGAGCCUGAGGCUUAGAGAGGUUACAUAACUCAUCCAAAGCUAUGACGAGUAAGUGGUAGAGUUGGGAUUGGAAUCCAGGUCCACGUGAAUCCUAAGUUUGUAUGCUUCCCACCCUAUCAGGAGGAGACACACACCCCAUUCUGGCUCCCAGUGGGUUGGUGCCUUCAGGUUAGUGCAGCAGAAUUCAGUAGAGCAAAGGAUGUUCUCCAUAUGUGGGGUGUCUCCACUGCCUGGAUGCUGGCAGUGGGAUGAAGAGGUGAAGGAGGAGGGAGAGAAGAGGGAAGGAAGAGGCAGGUGGGGAGAGAACUGGCCUGCAGCAUCACUGAUCCAAUUCAACCAUGCAUUAAGCCUUUACUGUGUGCCCAGCAGUCUCUAGAGUAUGUAGGCAGUUCCCGAGAGCUUACCAGAACAUUCCAUUCCCUUCUCAUCAAGUGGAAACUUCGUGCAGCUUGUAGAAGGCCGACCAGGUGUCAGACCCUUGAAUGUACUCUUUACACAGAUUGACUCUGAUUCUCACAACUGUCAAGGUCAUGCGGUUCUCAAAUGACCCAGAGAGGAUCAGAAAGCCAGCUUGUAUGACGCUGAGCCAGGCUAAUUUCACGGUGCCAUUCCCUCCUCAUCCCAUGCCCAUCAUCAAGCAAAGGGGCCAUCCAGGAAGGUGACUUUGUCACCUGGUAAAGGAACCAGUGCUUUGCUGGAUCACAGCAGAAUCCCUUGCUCUCCCCUGGAGUUGUCCCAGCUGUGGUGCCAGCAUUGGUUCCAGGGACAGGGCUUUUUAUUUAAAUGGCCCGCAUAGGCUGCCGUCUCCCUCCACUCUGUCGGCUCUUUGGGAGCUGGACAACACAUCUCUUAUUUUUGUCUCUCUCAAAACUCUUAGCCGGGUAAUUAUUUUUGGAAUUGAAAUACUUGCUUAAACCCUCAAAUAAUGUAAGGCAGUAUAUGAUUGUGCCAAACCUACACUAAAUAUAGUACAUAAGCAUCUAU
rnacentral:lncRNA from 10 species